GUACCCCAAACCGACACAGGUGGGCUGGUAGAGCAUACCAAGGCGCUUGAGAGAACAACGUUGAAGGAACUCGGCAAAAUGCCCCCGUAACUUCGGGAGAAGGGGGACCUCGCAUUGGGCAACCAGUGAGGGGUGGCACAGAGUAGGGGGUGGCGACUGUUUACUAAAAACACAGGGCUCUGCGAAGCCGCAAGGCGCGGUAUAGGGUCUGACGCCUGCCCGGUGCCUGAAGGUUAAAAGGA
rnacentral:rRNA from 1 species